GCCGGUGUGGUGGCACGUGCCUGUAACCCAGCUACUGGGAUGGCUGAGGUGGGAGGAUCUCUUGAGCUCAGGAGUUCUGGGAUGUAGUGCGCUAUGCCCAUCGGGUGUCUGCACUAAGUUCAGCAUCAAUAUGGUGACCUCCUGGGAGUGGGAGACCACCAGGUUGCCUAAGGAGAGGUGAACCAGCCCAGGUUGGAAAAGGAACAGGUCACAACCCCUGUGCUGAUCAGUGUGGGAUCGAGUCUGUGAAUAGGCACUGCACUCCAGCCUGGGCAACAUAGCAAGACCCAGUCUCU
rnacentral:SRP_RNA from 1 species